UGGGGAAUUUUCCGCAAUGGGCGAAAGCCUGACGGAGCAAUACCGCGUGAGGGACGAAGGUCUGUGGAUUGUAAACCUCUUUUGUUAGGGAAGAUAAUGACGGUACCUAACGAAUAAGCAUCGGCUAACUCCGUGCCAGCAGCCGCGGUAAGACGGAGGAUGCAAGCGUUAUCCGGAAUUAUUGGGCGUAAAGCGUACGUAGGCUGUUUCAUAAGUCUGUUGUCAAAGCGCGAGGCUUAACCUUGUAAAGGCAAUGGAAACUGUGAGGCUAGAGAGAGAUAGGGGCAGGAGGAAUUCCAGGUGUAGCGGUGAAAUGCGUAGAUAUCUGGAAGAACACCAGUGGCGAAAGCGUCCUGCUGGAUCUCAACUGACGCUGAAGUACGAAAGCUAGGGGAGCGAAUGGG
rnacentral:rRNA from 1 species